UUGUUUGGAUAAGCUUCAGUCAUCUUUAGUAGUUCUGACUCAUGCUUCUAGUGGUCACAGUGAUUAACCUGUUACCGUGGUUCCCAAACUGAGGCGUUACCUGGCUCUUCCUCCACUUCAAGGACGGUCUCAAAGUCCAGUCUCACAGAGUCCUUGCAUAAAUCACAGGCUGAGGAAGAUCUUUCUUGGCCCUGAACUGUGCCAUCUGGGGGAGAGAAGAUGUGGUUAAAGUCAAGCUGUUCACUCCAGCGAGUCUAAAUUCUUACUUGGUUUUGCUCCAGCAGUGUGCUGGAACUUCUCUGCUAGAAACCUGGACUCACAAAGGCUCUCUCAUCCAGAAGAGGAAAAAAGAGGCGUCCAUGCUAGAAACCUUGCAAAUGAGAAUGAAGUCAAGACGGAGACAACAGGGCUAAGUGAGCAAGCAAGUCUUUGUCACUUGCCAACCCCCACAGCUGCUUAAGGAAAACUGGUCUCCCCUGAGGGAGAAAAAGGAUUGCAGAGGGAACACAAUUUCUUAAUCCGUGACUUGUUUUUCAUCUUGACUUUGCCUGGAUCAGUGAUUUUCGUGUCGUUUCUCAGGCCAGUGCACCUGCGUACUCCCUUUGAUCCUAAACAACGUGACGGAGGAGGUGAUUCAACUGCGGACAAUGUAUACUGUACCCAACACACAGCAGAACUGUUAAGCAAGACCAGGCUGACCCCACCAGGAGCCAAGGCGUCAUCUCAUUGCCUGACAACCAAGAACAAUGGUUGCAUCUGUCGACGUCCAGGGCUGCAUGCAAUUGCAUUCUGUUCCCAACCUUACCCCAGCCCAUUUUUCCUAUAUAAUCCUGUCCCCUUCACCUUACGGGCAAAACAAGUUUUAGAUGCUUGUAAGUUCCCUGUCUCCUUGGUUGGCUGGCCUUCUCAA